rnacentral:rRNA from 1 species
GAUGAACGCUGGCGGCGUGCCUAAUACAUGCAAGUCGAGCGGACAGACGCGGAGCUUGCUCCUCUGAGGUUAGCGGCGGACGGGUGAGUAACAAGUGGAUAACCUACCUCUACGACUUGGAGAACUUCGGGAAACCGGAGCUAAUACCGGGUAAUAUAUUGAGCCGCAUGGUUCAUUAGUGAAAGACGGUUUUGCUGUCACUUAUAGAUGGAUCCGCGCCGCAUUAGCUAGUUGGUAAGGUAACGGCUUACCAAGGCAACGAUGCGUAGCCGACCUGAGAGGGUGAUCGGCGACACUGGAACUGAGACGAGGUCGAGACUCCUACGGGAGGCAGCAGUAGGGAAUCUUCCGCAACGGGCGGAAGAAGGACGGAGCAGCGCCGCGUGAGUGAUGAAGGUCUUCGGAUCGUAGAACUCUGCUAUCGGGGAAGAACAAAUGUGUAAGUGACUAUGCACGUCUUGACGGUACCUAAUCAGAAAGCCACGGCUAACUACGUG